rnacentral:lncRNA from 1 species
CUGUGAGCAAGGGGGCACAAAGAGCGGGGUGCUGUGAGCGGGGGGGCACAAAGAGCAGGGUGCUGUGAGCAGGGGGGCACAAAGAGCUGGGUGCUGCAAGUAGGCAGGGAUGCUCUGCUGCCCAGGCACUGAGUGCUGCCUGUGUCCCCUGUGCAUUGGGCCCUGCAGGGAGGGGGGAUGCUGCAGGCGCUGCUCCCCCACAGGCCCCUUGAGUGUGAGGAAUCCAUUGGGAAGAGCUGUUCCCGCAGCAUGGUCCAGGGGGCUGGAGAGGUGAUCCAAGGUGUUCUGGGGGAAGCGGGUGAGCUUUCUGGUAUAGAACCCUUGCAAAGGGGCUUGGGGAAGCACACCGGCCUUCUGCCUUCUGCUGUGGCUGCCCCAUCCCUGCAGUGCUCAGGGCCAGGUUGGACACAGGGGCUUGGAGCUGCUCUAUGGAAGGGGUCCCUGCCCGUGGCAGGGGUUGGGAAUGGAGGAGCUUUAAGGUCCCUUCAUCCCAACGCACUCCAUGCCCAUUGCUGUGUCUCAGGGGGAUGUCCCCCAUCUCUUGCUGGGCUCCCCGUGGUGCAGCUCCUGCUUUGGGGGAGCCGGCACUGACUCGUAUCCCUUCGGUCGCUGCUUUCCCACCCGCAGGAGCACCUGGCGCACAGAUGGAGCCUGGUGUGGAUUGCUCCCUGUGGCACUGUCCCUGGGAGCAGCAGCAGGUGAUUGCUGUGACCUGUGGCCAUGGAGCCGAGUUCCAGCCGUGUCACCUCGGUGUUGUGGGAGAAAGAGGCAUCAGCAGGAUGUAUCCUGAUGGAGCCGCAUCCAGCCUGCCUGGGGCUAGUGAUGUGCAGAUGUGUGUAAGGAUGCUGCAUGGAAGCCUGUUCUGCUGCCAUGGAGGAUCAAACUCCCUGGAGCCAGGACCCAGGAGCUCCUGUUUCCCUGCCAAAUAGUUCAUUAUCCUUACACUUGUAAUUGUAGCCCUGGUAAAUGGAACAUGCGCCUUGUGGUGGUGCUGGAGAUCAGAUAGGGAGGUCAGGGAAUGGUUUGGGAUGAAGGGAGCUUAAAGCCCAUCCAGCUCCAAUCCCCUCAGGAUUGGAGGAAGGGGUUAAGGAAUGG